rnacentral:rRNA from 1 species
GACGAACUGUCCAAACGUUGUUCGGAAUCACUGGGCUUAAAGGGCGCGUAGGCGGUCCGACAAGUCAGGGGUGAAAUCCUGCAGCUUAACUGCAGAAGUGCCUUUGAUACUGUCGGUCUGGAGGGAGAUAGGGGUGUGCGGAACUUCCAGUGGAGCGGUGAAAUGCGUUGAUAUUGGAAGGAACGCCGGAGGCGAAAGCGGCGCACUGGAUCUCUUCUGACGCUGAGGCGCGAAAGCUAGGGGAGCAAACGGG